rnacentral:rRNA from 1 species
CCUACGGGUGGCAGCAGUGGGGAAUAUUGGACAAUGGGGGAAACCCUGAUGCAGCAACGCCGCGUGAGUGAAGAAGUAUUUCGGGUUGUAAAGCUCUAUCAGUAGGGAAGAGUAAAGGCGGUACCUUACUGAGAAGCCCCGGCUAACUACGUGCCAGCAGCCGCGGUAAUACGUAGGGUGGAAGCGUUAUCCGGAUUUAAUGGGGGGUAAGGGGGCGUAGACGGGUUUGCAAGUCUGAAGUGAAAGCCCGUGGCUCAACCGCGGAACUGCUUUGGAAACUGUAUAACUUGAGUACUGGAGAGGCAGGCGGAAUUCCUAGUGGAGCGGUGAAAUGCGUAGAUAUUAGGAGGAACACCAGUGGCGAAGGCGGCCUGCUGGACAGAAACUGACGUUGAGGCUCGAAAGCGUGGGGAGCAAACAGGAUUAGAUACCCGGGUAGUC